rnacentral:sRNA from 1 species
AAAGAUAAGAAUUGUUAUGUAUUACACUCAUUAGCGCAGGCUCUGUAGGAGCCAUUCCCCUAGGCCCAAAGCAGGAUAAGCUUUGGGCCAUUUUUU